GAUAUACUAUCGCAACUUGUGAAUUGCUCUUUAAAAACACUUGGACUUAUUUCAACUGCUCGACCAAGCUUUAUGGAUUUACCAAAGUCUCACUUUAUCUCUGCACUGACGGUUGUGUUCGUAAACUCCAAAUCCCUGUCUUCGCUUAAGAUAGAUGAUACUCCAGUAGAUGAUCCAUCUCUCAAAGUACUAGUGGCCAACAAUAGUGAUACACUCAAGCUGUUGAAAAUGAGCAGCUGUCCUCAUGUCUCUCCAGCAGAAACGUGUUCAGUUGAUCAUCAAAUACUUAAAGGACCUUGAAAGCUUGUCUGGCUCUAAUUAAAGCACAGCUACUUGGUGAUCUUAACAGAAACCUGUCCUCUCUCGGAGAAGCGCAACCUCUUCCACUGCGCUGACAGCUUUGUGGGAAGAGGGAGAACUACAGGAAACAGUGAAGAAGUCAGAAGGUGCCUGUUUACCCAAACGUGUCUGCAGCCAUGUUCCUGCAUACCCCGGUUGGAAGAACCGCUGAAGCACUAUGCUAUCAGCUUAAAAUCUAGGUGACUACAAAACCCUGGAAAGUUUGGCACAUAAACUACAUUAGGCAAGAUCAAGGAUGACAUUUGUUCUUUGAUUAAUCAUUAUCACUGCCAUUCAAUGUGACCUGCCAAACAUACACAACUUACAUCUUUACAGCAAUCCUAAAUCCUAAGAUUUAGUGAUGUUAGGUUGCUUAAAGAACACAAGCCAGUUACUAGCUAGUUCCAAAAUCUCAGCCAGAAAUAUGUGUUAACACUGGAUUUGCCACAUCUAGAAGCACAAUCACUCCAGUUAUGGUGUCUAAACUAAUGUCUAAAGUUAGGUGAAUGGAAUGUAAUCAGACUAUACUAAACUUGGUUCCAAAAGUUAUAAAAGUUGUAAAGUUAGUCUAAACUAAAGCACUUAAGUGAAAAAGUGUAACUGCCAUACCAGAAAGAAGAGCUCCCACCAUGAAAAUGUCACUGAAGGUAUUUUUUAUUUUUGAAGGUAUUUUUAAAAUCUGGGCACACCAUAUCUAUCUGUAGGACCUUGGGUCCAAAGGUCCUACAUAACUGAUAUGAACCAUAAUUCUCCAUAUUAACAAAGGCUCGAAAAUUGAAACCAAGAUCACCUAACUCGCUCACUUUGGCCAAUAUAGUACGAAUUUCAGCUUCUUUACAAGAGAAAAGUCCUGAGAUGUUAAUAUGCAGCAAUUCUGCUGAUGUGCAUUUUAACUUUAUGCACCAAGGAAGAAAGGCUAAGGAAUUCACAAAAGUAAAAUCACCCCCUGAAAAACAGAUGCUGGUGAUUGGAGAAAAAAGAGCAGUAGAAUUAAGGUGUUUUAUAAACCAGAGAGUGUUUUGUUUCUGUUAGGUAAAGGGAUUUCUUCAUAUGUUAUUUUAAUAAAAGGGAAUUUCAUAGGUAAAAACCAAUAUUCAAAAUUAUAAAACAAAUAGAACUGUCUGUGCACAAUCACUGCAUCAAAAAUUUGCAAGAGACUCAACAGAAAUUCUUUAGUUGGCAAAUGUGGUUUGAAGGGGUAAUAAAAUCUUUUUAUGGCUAAACCAAGAGUCUUGUUUCCUGUUGGCCCAAAAACAGAUGUUUCAUUUCCCAGAUAAGUAGGUUCUCCACUGUAAAGAAAUAUUCUUGUAUAGUUGGUUUCUAUGUUCUUGAACUCUGCUCCAAAUUCAGCCAACUUGUUAAAGGUCCUUAACACAAAUUUGGAACAGUCGUAGGAAUCAAACCAUGUCUCUGCCCCCUUUUCUGGGCUGGCUUUUACAUUCCAUGUCUCGUAAUAAAUUCCUGUUUCAUUGUCCUGUUUCACCCACUUUGCCAUUUGGUUGAACAUGUUUCCUAGUUUAAAAAAACAAAACAAAGUCACCUAGUGAACAAAGCUAAUCAUGUUAAUUUUUUUUUUUUUUUUUUUUUUUUUUAAGACAGGUCUCCCUCUGUUGCCGAGGCUAGAGUGCGGUGGUAACAUCACAGCUCACUGCAGCCUUGACCUCCUGGGCUUAAGUGAUCCUCCCACCUCAGCCUCCUGAGUAGCUGGGACUACAGGCACUGGCCACCAAACCCAACUAAUUUUUUAAUUUUUCUUUUUUUUUAUUUGAGACCAGCCUGGGCAACACAGGGUCUUGCUGUAUUGCCCAGGCUGGUCUCAAAUUCCCAACUUCAAGUGAUCCUCCUGCUUCAGCAUUCUAAAGCACUGGGAUUAUAGGUUUGAGCUACCAUGGCUGGCCUAAUCAUAUUAAUUUUAAGUAAAAUGUUCUAACUUGAUUAAGACUGGAUGCCUGAGUAAACAAUGGUUUUGAAUUUCCACACCUGCAUUUCACAACAGGAAUCCAAGCUCAGCCAAUUUUAUUCCAUACUUCAAGGCACAAGAUAUUUCUGAAUUGUAAACAUUAGAUAUAAUAGGUGUAUAAGGAGAAGUCAUCUUACAUACUAAUUCUAUAAUCAUUUAAGCUAUAGUCAAAGCGAAAUUAUACAAAUGCAGAAGCUCUCUUUCUCUACCCAACUCACCAAAUCUUGGAUUCAGAGGCAAAAGAGAAAAGGAAAGCACAAAAAGAAUUGCGAAAGAGGAAAAGCAGAAUGGGCAAAGACAGUGUAAGGAAAAUGGAGGUGUGGGAAAUGUGGAGCUUCACUGUUGCAAAGCAUGCUACACAUAAAGAGUGAAUGGCUGCCUGAGGAGCCACUGCUCUAGAAGGCUGGCUAUUACUGUUAUGAGAACAAGCACCAUACCCCAUCCACCUUGUGUGUUUGGUACGUUUCUUUCUUCCCUGUACUUGGAGUUGUUGGGAUGCUGCUGAUGACCUCUCCACCUGCCAUGUUAAGUCCUUCCAACAAAUCAACUAAACUGGAAAUGUUUUAGGCCGAGUCCAUACUCCAGGAUGGCUAACCCUCUCUCCUACCAUCUUGUACUACACCAGAAGAAUCUUUCCAAAUAUUCAGAAAACACUACUCUGCAUGGUUACAACUCUCAUCUUGGGCAUUUAUAAUGCCUAAUAGAACUGGGCCCCAAACACUGCAUCCUGUCACUGUGUGCAAACCUCUUUGGUUACUCCAACUUGAGUCCAUAAAAUAAAUACUUCAUGUUCUGUAAAAUGAAUAGAGUGACUGCCUUUAUCAAUUUUAUGGAAUUAACAUUGUAGAACAGAAUAAAGCCUGUUGUAUUAGAACUGGG
rnacentral:sRNA from 1 species